AGUGAACGCUGGCGGUAGGCCUAACACAUGCAAGUCGAACGGCAGCUCAGUAAGAGCUUGCUCUUACGGGUGGCGAGUGGCGGACGGGUGAGGAAUACAUCGGAAUCUACUUUUUCGUGGGGGAUAACGUAGGGAAACUUACGCUAAUACCGCAUACGACCUACGGGUGAAAGCAGGGGAUCUUCGGACCUUGCGCGAUUGCAUGAGCCGAUGUCGGAUUAGCUAGUUGGCGGGGUAAAGGCCCACCAAGGCGACGAUCCGUAGCUGGUCUGAGAGGAUGAUCAGCCACACUGGAACUGAGACACGGUCCAGACUCCUACGGGAGGCAGCAGUGGGGAAUAUUGGACAAUGGGCGCAAGCCUGAUCCAGCCAUACCGCGUGGGUGAAGAAGGCCUUCGGGUUGUAAAGCCCUUUUGUUGGGAAAGAAAAGCAGCAGGUUAAUACCCCGCUGUUCUGACGGUACCCAAAGAAUAAGCACCGGCUAACUUCGUG
rnacentral:rRNA from 1 species